rnacentral:lncRNA from 1 species
CACUAUGCCAACGCAUUUUUCAAAGGAAUGCGUUAUGGGGAGAUGACAAACAGUUUAGCGGAGUCCUUUAAUAAUUGGGUUGGUGUGUUUCGAGAUUUGCCGGUGCUACCUUUGAUAGAAGGGAUUCGACAGAAAUUGAUGGUGUUGAAUUCUCAACGACGAAUUGAAGCGGAGAAGUGGACAACAGUUUUGUGUCCGGAGAUGGAAACUAGACUCUGUGAAAAUGCGGAGGCCGGUAGGACUUGGGCAGUUCGUCGUUCUAAUUCCACUAUUUUUGAAGUAUUUGCUGAUUAUUCUGUGAUGGUUGAUCUCGAGCAAAGGACUUGUUCUUGCCGUCUUUGGCAAAUUGACGGUUUUCCUUGCACACAUGCGGUGGCUGCAAUCCUAGCAAAGAGAGAUUCAGUUUAUGAUUACGUGGAGUGUUACUACAAAACCGACUUCUUUUGAAAAGCCUAUGAGAGUCCUAUUUUUCCUAUUCCAGAUAUUGGGAAAGGAUUGGGCAGCAAUGGUUCUGCAGCUGUUGUUGUGCUUCCGCCAAUUACAAAGAGGCCAGCCGGAAGACCACCAACAAAGAGGAUCAAAGUUUUUGGUGAAUUUAAAAGGCCAUUGAAAUGCAGUCGGUGCAGUGUUGCUGAGCACAAUAGGAAGACUUGCAAGGCUAUUAUAUGAACACUCCUUCUCAUUUGACAAUUUUUUAUUUUAGAUAUGGUUUAGCGAAUGUAUAGUCAGUUUCUGUGUUGCACUUUUUGCAAAAACUGUAUUGCAGUUUUAGUUGCUUGUAAUUUGCUACACAGCUUCUAAUUGGAUAUUGUGAUUCUUUUUU